rnacentral:rRNA from 1 species
GAUGAACGCUGGCGGCGUGCUUAACACAUGCAAGUCGAACGGAAAGGCGCUGCUUUUGUUGCGUGCACGAGAGGCGAACGGGGGAGUGACACGUGAGUAACCUGCCCUUGACUUUGGGAUAACUUCUGGGAACUGGGGCUAAUACCGGGUAGGAGCUCCUGCAGCGUGGGGGUGGAUGGAAAGAUUCGGCGGUUGGGGCUGGACUCGAGGCUUAUCAGCUUGUUGGUGGGGUAGUGGAGUACCAAGGCUUUGACGGGUAGCCCGCCUGGGAGGGUGACCGGCCACCUUGCGCCUGCGAUACGGCCCAGACUCCUAUGUGCGGCAGCAGGCGGGAACAUUGCACAAUGGGCCGGAGCCAGAUGCAGCAACCCCCGGUUCGGGAUGAUCUCCUUCGGGUUGAAAACCGCUUUCGCCUGUGACGAAGCCGUAGUGACGGUAAUGGGUAAAGAAGCACCGGCUAACUACGUG